AGAGUUUGAUCCUGGCUCAGAACGAACGCUGGCGGCGUGCUUAACACAUGCAAGUCGAGUGCGCGUACCGUAGCAAUACGGUAUGGCGCACGGCGCACGGGUGCGUAACACGUGGGCAAUCUGCCCUUCGAUGGGGAAUAACUUCGGGAAACCGAAGCUAAUUCCGCAUAACAUUCCUUGGAUUUCGCGGUUCGAGGACUCAAAGCCGCAAGGCGUUCAAAGAAGAACCCCCGCCCCAAUAACUUAUUGGUUAAGGUAUGGCCCCCCCAAGGCAUGGAUCGGUAGCUGGUCUGAGAGGAUGCCGCCACACUGGAACUGAGACACAGUCCAGACUCCUACGGGAGGCAGCAGUGGGGAAUCUGCCGCAGUGGGCGAAAGCCUGACUCAACGACGCGUCGUGGGGGAUGAAUCAUCUCGGUCUGUAAACCCCGUUUGACUGG
rnacentral:rRNA from 1 species